rnacentral:tRNA from 1 species
GCCUGGGUAGCUCAGUUGGUGAAGCAUCUGACUUCGGCUCAGGUCAUGAUCUUGCGGUCUGGGGGUUUGAGCCCCGCAUCAGGCU